GUACAAGUUUAGACUAAAUAUCAGACUCGAACUCCUGAGAGACAGCAGCCAAAGUGACUGUUAUACUCACUUUUCUUUUUAUAUACACCGUCUAUUUAUAACUUUUCUAAUCAUAAGUAUAUACGGUGGCCAGACGUUCUCUAAGAAUAAGUAUAUAUGAGUUCAACUCAUUGUGUUUCAUGUUCUAUAGUAAGUAAAUCCAGAGGUUGCAUCAUAUGAGAACAUUCUGCUGCUGGAAAUGCUUUUUGAAGUGCCAAACAUUAGUAAAUGCAUCAUUUAUCAAAAUAAAUAAAUAAAUAAACAAAUUAAAAUCGCAUUUGAAAGAAAUAUCUUAUGAAUACAUGAAUACAUUUGUUUUUCUCAGAGUUCUCAGUUGUCAAAGUCAAUAGAGAAAAUCUUGUUCGCCCACUUUAUCCAGCCAUCAUGGGGGAUGGACUAGACGUACAGAAUGUCCCCACCAGCCCCCAAAACCCCAGGAUCCUGACAGAUGAGCCCUUAACUCCGGUGUGUGUGCGUGCGGGAUCCUAACUGCCUCUUUGGUAGCCCUCCAUCGCCAGCCAAUGCGAUCCUAAAUGCAGCGGGACGAGUGGUCCAGCGAACAACACAAAGUGUGUAAGGUGAAUUUGCUUAAAGUGCGGUAGCGUCUACGCAAAUGCAAGUGGCAGGCAACACCAAGGAUGUUUUGAAUGGAAAAUCGGGCAUUGUGGUAAGAGUUUGCUGCCUCUGACCCUGGCUGCUAGCAGACAAGCAAGUGUGAAAUCUGUAUGAAAGGUAAGCAGCUGAUAACAUUACCCAACAAAGGCAAUAUCAUCUUCCCCCCUCCACAUUUUUUCUUUCCACCAUUCUCAUCUGUCUCCGCCGAUCUUUUUUUUUUUUUACUGCUCUUUUCCUCUGUAUUCGCUCUUCAGUUUCGCUUUGCCAUUCUUACUUAUUUUCCAUUUUAAUUGAACCGCACUCUAGCAACAAAUAACAAAUGGAAAUUGGCGUUCGGUAAACACUGUCGUAGGAAGGACCGGUGUUUUACUGGCAGCGUGCUUUUCUUUUUUUUUUCUUCUUUUUUUCGUUUUGUUCUCCUGCUCAGGAUGGACUGCACUGGCAUCGCACAGCUGUCCUUUCAUUUUCAAAGCUUGUUUGAUUUUUCUAACCGUCGUUCCCCCUCCCGAGUCUCAUCUCACACUGUGAUCACAUCCAGCUCUGCGUCCUAAUGUUUACUGAGCAAUUAGGAGCAAAUUCACUUGUGCCUGUGGGGUCUGUUGCCAUAGUUACAAUAGGGUUUUCAAGGUCUAUCAUCUGGUCCUCAGUGUCCACCAAUCAGCUGCGAGCGCUGAAGCUCUCAACGUAAAGUAAAGAUGCGCAUCUUUCACCAACACAGUAGUAAGGAAUUGAAACAGAUCCACGAGUAUUACAAAGUACUCUGAAGUGGCAAGUAGGCGACUGCGUCCAGUCAUGGCGGAUCUUGGAAAUCACGGUGGAGGAGACACCCAGCAGGAGAGGCAGGUACGAAUGGAUACAAUAAACUACCAGGAAUGGCACAAUUCUCUGUGGAUAGUAAACUUUCUAACUGGGAGAAUGCAGAAGAUGCCAUCUUUACUGUCACUUGAUCUCAUUACUGGACUAGAAAUGGUUUCUUUUGCCAGUGAAUUUACAUUCGGGGGAAGCCUGCCAAUGCAAGACAGAAGCAUCAACUUCCCCCAGGUGAGGUAUUUUAUAUUCAAUUUUAUAGAUGCAAACUUUUAAAUAUCACUAGAUUGCGUGAAUUAUGUUGUUUGAACACUACCCCAACCCUCACGUUUAGAUACAGCUCUUUCAGUCACUCUUUCUACAGCUACUGUAUCUAGUAAUAGUUUGUUUCUAGAAUUUUGUAGUCACUUUUAUAGUAACAACUCACACAUUCUUUAACCAAGACAAUUGUUGGUAUGGGGAAGCUUUCUGUUUAUUUCCAGAAGGAGUUUCAGUGUGCUAUUAUCAGCGCUUUGUAACAGUCAGUAACUUUUCCGCUAUGGUAGAGACUUCAGGACGGAGAUUUUUGUGCUUUCCUGUUUCUCUGUAACAUAACAAGCUGUUUUUUUUUUUCUUAACUUCAAGAGGGCAAAAUAAAGAUGUUGGUGAGAGAAGGACUGUUUAUAGCUGCUCUAACAUAACUGAUAACAGGAACUAACUUAUCUCACAGACACUUCACAACCUUAAACGUAACUAUAAGUGGUUAAAAAUUGCAUUCAUUGUUCGUUAACAAAUUAAGAAUUGAACUGUUGGUAAAUCACGAUGGUUUAUAAUCUCUAUAUAUGUGAAAACUAUGGAUUAUUACUCUUGAAGCUUUGUUGAAAGUAACUGGUCCUGAUUGGUCCACUGGACACUUUUGUGAAACAGAAUAAGAGGACAGAAAGCCCAACUUGGGCAUGACAUUAUAGGAAAAUAAUAGGAAAAUAAUCUACUACAGGGUAGUAACAGUAACUCCACUUUGUGUUAGGCCUCAUCACAUCACCCCGUAGUGGAUUAUUUUCCUAAAACAGUAUGCCCUGUUGUGGUAAAAUCUUUGGAGCUGUCGAUAUUGUUGUUGUGUCUUUAUCUGUAGGCCAGAGAAAGUAGAAGUUUUAUGCCACAAGAUGCUGCCACUUAGCUAGCUCACCAAUGCCACCGCUGUAAAUUUUGAAUGCAUAUAUAUCUUCUAAAUGUGAAUUUUGGGAUUGUUUUGGAGCUCACUAUCUUAUAGAUAACCUUAAGGCUAACGUAAUCGUACUAAAAGCCACAAAACUUCUAUUUUGAUUUCAUGGGGACAUUAAGGCCAGGUUUCCCAACUUGGGGUUUGUGUUCCCCUAGAGGAUUGUGCUGGAAUUGCAGGGGGUUCAUAAGAUCAAUAGAAAAUUAAGAUAUUUCACAAACUGAGAAGUACCAAGCUUUAACUGCCAGGUUUCGCCCUUUAUUACAAAAAAAAAUCUCUUAAUUUUAGCCUUGUUAAAGUCUCAAAGGUUACUUAAGGCAAAUAAUUUAGGCUGAAGGGUUUCUUCUGAAAAAAACAUUUGGGAAUCUUUGGUUUAACUCUUCUACACAUAGUGUUCAAACUUGUCAAUUUAAAGUUGUUUUUUUUUUUUUUUUUUUUUUUAGGAAAAUAAGAGAAUUAAAUCACUUCCAAAUCACUUGACUGAAAUGUUAAAUUUAACAUUUAAAUCUCAGGACUCCACUGAACCUUUUUUAAAAGCUUUGUUUUUUUUUAUUAUUGAAGUUUUUAACAUCUUAACUGUAUCAAUUUUGU
ensembl:lncRNA